ensembl:lncRNA
UUUUUGGUUGGUUUUUUUUUUUUACAAAGGAUAAGAAUAACAUUUAUUUCUGCCUGAGGUCAGCCAUAUUUCUAAACUCUUUAGAAUGUUUGCACUAAAAUAUUUACAAAGGCAACAAUUACAUGACAAAAGCUCAUUAUGCUAUGACAUAUUAUAAUAGAUUGUAAUUUUAUAUAUACAGAAUCAAAUUCUUUAUAUGUAUAAAAUCACAAAAGCACUCUUUUAACUGCUGUAACUGGGUAAAAUUACUGCAGAUAAUUUCUUUUUCCCCAACUGUUUAUCCACAUCCCAUAGUCUCUAUGGGGAAGCUUAGUGCAAAUCUAACAAUUCCAUACAUGCAGUAAAGUAAAAUUUAAAAAAUAAAAUAAAAAAAAAGAGAGAACUUGAGUGCACUGAAAAAAUAAAUGCAUUAUUUGUGAUACAUGUUUACUCAAACUGAAGGACUUCACUGCCUAAGUUACAACAAAACAUCCUCAGCACAGGAAGGACAUGGAGCUGUUGGAGUGAAUCCAGAGGAGGCAGCCAAAGUGAUCAGAGGGAUGGAGCACCUCUACUAUGAGGAAAGGCUGAGAGAAUGGGGAUUAUUCAGUCUGGAGAACAGAAAGCUUUGAGGUGACCUAACUGUGGCCUUCCAGUCCCUGAAGGAUGCUCACAAGAAAGAUGGAAAGAGACUUCUUACAAGAGUUUGGAGUGUAAGUGGGACAAGAGGGAAUGUCUUCAAACUGAAAGAGCAGGUUCAGAUUAGAUAUUAGGAGCAACAGAUUAGCAACAUUAGAUUAGCAACAUUAGAUUAGCAACAUUAGAUUAGCAACAUCUUUUCUGUGAAGAUGUUGAGGCCCUGGCACAGGUUGCCCAAAGAAGCUGUGGCUGCCCCAGCCCUGGACACGUUCAAGGCCAGGUUGGAUGGGGCUUGGAUCAGCCUGGGAUAAAGGAAGGCAUCCCUGCCCAUGGCAAGAGGGGUUGGCAGAUCAUCUUUUAGCUCCCUUCAACCCAGACCAUUCUGUGAUUCUGAUUCAUUGGGCACUUCAUGACAUGAUGAACUCUACCAGGAACUCAGCAUUAGAUUAGGGCAGCAUCAGAAUCAUGUUUCUUAGCUAGAAUCAUCACCCCAGUACUGCACAGAUCUCAUGUACACACCAAGCAGUCACCUGAAGCUGGCCUCAAACAGAACUGGUUCUGACAUGAAGAGAAGAAAUGUCAGGGAGCUAGUCAGGAGACAGAACUUGCUCUUUUUCUCAUUAAUGGGCCAAUAGGGAGCAAUGUGUAUGUCAGGCCAGCUGCUGCACAGGAGCACACCAAUAGCAACAGUGGCAAGAAAUGCCUCCCUCCAUCUUUUAGCCAAAAGCUCUGUGUCAUUUCCUCUUGGACCAGAGCCUUGCUACCAUGAUUCAUGCUCUGCUUGGUUACUACAACCCACUGCAUCUGGAGCUGCACAGAUGCAGGAUAAAGAGCUACAAAACCAGACACACUCAUGAGAAUCCUGACUGAGGAAUAACUGUCUAUGAGACUGGGGUGAGACAGUCUGGUACAUUGAAAGUGUAGUUUCAAAUAAAGUCUUGUCAAAAGUCCAGCCACUUUUUCUUGAGCAGAUUAUAAGGAAACAACAAAGAAGUAAGGAGACGGUAUUUUAUAUCAUUAACCAAGUCAUUAACAUAAGGGAUGAACAUAUUUAAUAUUACUCUCAUGUUUACCUCCAUUGUCUAUAUAUACCAGUGACAAAAGUGCAGGCAGAUUGAAAGUAGAAAUGUAUUUCUCUCAUGCAAGGAAGUUUCCAUUGCUUACACAGCCUCUAGAGCUUAAGAUGUACUUUUUCCCCAUAAGUAAUAAAUUCAGUUAAGAACAUUUUGGACACAACUGUCUUUGACUCAUGGUAGUGGGUCUGAGUCCAGCUGAAUUUCUCUCCAGGCUGGGGAAACCUGAAUUUUAUCAGUUUCAUGAAUCACUACCAGCUUUCCUCACUUGACUCCAGAGUCACCCCGUUUCCAUUCUUUGGACAUGAACCCAUUCAGAAACAAUGUGAAAUAAUGGGUGGAGAGUCCUUCUGAUGCAGUGCCUGGCUGUGAAGAAGGUUAGUCACCUCAGGCCUGACAAAAGUCUUCACAAGGGAGAUGGUGUCCAACUAUUCAGAUAAGAACAGUGAGUACAACAUGUUCCAAGCCAAGUGGUAUCUUCCAGGCAAACUGAUCCCACUUCCCGUCAUUUUUAUAUAGUAGCUACAAUACCUUGUAAAAAUUAUGGCUUGAAGCUGCACAAAACAGGUAUAAAUGAACAAAUUACCUUGGCAAAUGGAACAGUGGCUACAGAUUAUGAUGAUGUAAUGUGGAUGUACUUCUAUCUACAUAAGACAUUCGACUUAGUAGCUUUUAAAUAUAUGUUAGCAUUCUAACAGAGUUUUUCCUAAUGUUCUUAUGCUAAUAUCACGCCAGGCAGAACCAUGUUGUAUGAAUGUUAUUCAUCAGUGUCAGUCAAACCAGUCAUAAUCAGAGUUUAGCAUUUUCUUUAAAAUAUAUUUUGCUGUUAUUGAGCUAAUGCCUAAUGAAAUAUAAUGAAAGAGCAGUCCCCAAACACUGCCACUGCAGAUUUAGGUGAGGUUUAACAAAGGAUAGCCAUUAAAAUUAAGCAAUUGUGCUUAACUGUCUCUAGUCAUUCAGCAUGGAAAGCUCAUCAAAACAUCUGACAGUGACUAUCCUAAUUUAUUUCCUCAGUUUAAAUAUGAUUCACACUACAACCAAAGUUGAUUCUGUCAACUCUACUACACUGUUCUUAAUGGGAGGGUGGGUAGAGAAAAGAAUAAGAGAAAAGAAAAAGAUCUAUAGAUAGUCAAAGAAUUUGUAAUCUAACUAAAUAGGUUCACAAACCACACUAUUGGCAGACAGAGUAUAAAAUCUUUAGAAAUGUUGAAAUGUCUAGAUGUAAGUUCCCAAAUGUGUAGACACUUUAAAAAAUAGGAUGUAGGCUCCCAGCUCACUGCACUGAGCAUGUUACACUAAGUUGGUGUGUGCUUUCCUUCCCACUCAACCCCCUUGCUGCAGGGUAAAUGACUGGAGAGAAAUUUACAAAAGGAUGAAGCAUCUAAUCCCAAGCCUUUAAUCACCACUUUCUAUUUUUAAGCAAAUCAGUGUGUAUCUUUCCAAGCUCUGCCUCACUAUUACUUCUGCAGAAAGACAUCUAAAUGUUAAGAUACCUACAUUGUUGUGUGUCUUUGGUAAGGCCUAAGCAAGAAGCAGCUUGGGGACAAGAUCUAACAAGGUGUCUCACUCCUCUGACUCUACCCCUCCCAUUUUCUACCUCCAGUCCAGUAUCUGCAGUACUCUAACACAAUGUCCCGUUUUCAAACACCUAAUCCUCAAACAAACUUCAUGUGCAAAGUUCCAGCACUGCCCUGUGACAGCCAGAGUCUGGGCCUCUGCACCAAGGCCAGCUGUACUGCUGUUGGCAUAACCUUUAUGAAGAAAAUCAACAUCCUUGAAGUGGAGAAGAGACAUGACUCCUAUACCUCCAGAUCUUGCACCUCUCAUUCUUGUUUUUCUUUGGGCGAACCUGAUUCCAGGGUUCCAUUGUAUUUACUCCCCUGCUCCUAUUGGCCAAUGAGAAGGGGAACAUCAACCACAAAAACCAGAAAACCCUGUGAUCAUGCCAAAACCUCACUAGACGUCUCUUUUGCUAUGGUGAAUGUCUCAAUUUUUAAAGAUAAGUGUAUGGUAGUGGCUAUGAACAAGUGAGUAUGUGAUGAUCACCUAGGUUAUGUACAAUAAGCACCUUCACUUGCAUGCAUUAAACAGUGGUUACUGUACAAAUUAAUUAACUGGUUGCUGCUCUGAUGCUGAGAAUUCCUGCAGACUGACUAGUUCUCAUUCUGAAAAAAAAAAAAUUGUCUUAUUUGGCACUUUCUUGAUUCUCCAAGGAGUGUCCAGACAACAACAUUAAAGCAAGGUGUCAACCAGGGACAAUUUUUGGGACAAUUGCUUCUCUAUUGUUCACCUUCCAAACAAGCCUUCCCAGAGUACUCAUUUAUCAACUGUCUGAAGCAUAUUUUACAUUCAAAGCUGUCUGACACUGUGAAUUAAACAUGAUGGAGGCAAUGCCUGGACAAAAUCUAAACCUCCUCCUUGCUGCUCGCAGACUGGAGAGUAGAGAGCUCUGUACAUCAUUGACUGAGCUUCACUCUACCGAGGGUGAAAACAAUCCCAUCAAUCUAAAUACAAAAUUAAUAUUUAAAGACAUUCUUUGUCUCUAAAUAGGUUAGGUGAGGUUAUCAGCUCUUGGCAGGUUGUACAAAUGUAUGUGUGGUAGGGUUUCCCAGGGAAUUAUCUGUAAAAGGUACACCCCAGCAAAAUUAUUGUAAUAUUUUUGCUUCUUUAUUUGAUUUCUCUAACACCCAACUUUUACACAACUUCAUAGUUAUGCAUUUUGUGGAGAGAAGGUGUAUCUUCUGGACUUUAGUGCAUUACUGAAAGCAAGCAUGUGUCUUAGGAAAACCUUUGUCCAAAAUCUUUGGUGCCUGUGGCCUAUUUAUCUUUUUAUCUGCAGAUUGAGAAAAAUGAGCCAAAGAUUUACAUAAAAUGGACACUUAAUAAAAGGUUUACAAAUUACAGUACAUAAUUAUGUAUCUGGAAGGAACACUGAUAUUCCUUCUUUUUUCGAAACUUUUCCACUUCAAUUUGCUCAAAAAGCUCCCCAAAAGCAGGUCUAGGCAAAGCAUCCAUUAAAUCAUGGGAGCAGAGAGGCCUGUCAAGGGAAUAAUAUCUUGUGUGAAUAUUUUAAUUUAGUCAUCAUUUCUUGAAAUUCUUUAUUCCAUUAAAAUAUGGAGAAUGAAAGAUUUUGCUCAGGUUUUAUGUGCUGAAAACUGGGUUUGCUCCUUUGGCUUUUUGUAUUUAAAUUACAAACCAGAAACCUUUCAGCAGAAAAUAUCUUGCCAACAGUAAAAUAUUUUUGUAGGUAGUCAGUUUCCAAAAAAGAAUGUUGAUUUUUUGACUGGCUAUUCUUAUCAUUGAUCUUUCCCUAACAGUGUGGAACAUGAUGUCAGUGAAUUAUCAUGCAGAAGAAAAUUAUUUUCUUUUCUCACUGUAGUAAUCACCAGGCUAGCUUGUCUCAAACAAUAUGAGUGACAACAUUUAAUUUAGACCUGAAUUGAUUUAGUCCAUGGUCAGGCUGAUGAAUAAACUGCUGAUAAUAGAAACACUGAAACUGAGCUAAAACAAAAGAACUUAACAUAUAAAAAUUCAAGUCUGGAAAUGGUAGACAUUCAAGCUUGAGCAGGUUGAAUUAACUUGUCCACUUAAAAUCUGAUUUAAAAGCUCAUAAUGAAAAGGCAUUAAUACAACACUGCUCAUUUAGCUCCGAUCAGCAAAACUGCCAUUUUCCCAUUUCAUGGCUCUGACAGGUUAUGUCAUAGCCCUCUCAUUUCAGGUCUUCCCAGUUACAUAAAUAUUUUGUUGCUUAUUAGCAGUGUCAUUGUCCCACCAACAGCACAUAUCUAAGCACCAAUAAGUAAUCAUUAACUAAUUAGACACAACAGGACUGUUUGCCAACAGAAGAAAAGAAUCACAUUUAAACCCUUGAAUCACUACAUCCUAGUUUAAUGGAUCUGAAAAAAAAAAAAAAAAAAAAAAAAAAAA